rnacentral:rRNA from 1 species
GAUGAACGCUGGCGGCGUGCCUAAUACGUGCAAGUCGAGCGAACAGACGAGGAGCUUGCUCCUCUGACGUUAGCGGCGGACGGGUGAGUAACACGUGGAUAACCUACCUAUAAGACUGGGAUAACUUCGGGAAACCGGAUCUAAUACCGGAUAAUAUAUUGAACCGCAUGGUUCAAUAGUGAAAGACGGUUUUGCUGUCACUUAUAGAUGGAUCCGCGCCGCAUUAGCUAGUUGGUAAGGUAACGGCUUACCAAGGCUACGAUGCGUAGCCGACCUGAGAGGGUGAUCGGCCACACUGGAACUGAGACACGGUCCAGACUCCUACGGGAGGCAGCAGUAGGGAAUCUUCCGCAAUGGGCGAAAGCCUGACGGAGCAACGCCGCGUGAGUGAUGAAGGUCUUCGGAUCGUAAAACUCUGUUAUUAGGGAAGAACAAAUGUGUAAGUAACUAUGCACGGCUUGACGGUACCUAAUCAGAAAGCCACGGCUAACUACGUG